AUAAUGGGUCAGCGACUUAUAUUCUGUAGCAAGGUUAACCGAAUAGGGGAGCCGAAGGGAAACCGAGUCUUAACUGGGCGUUAAGUUGCAGGGUAUAGACCCGAAACCCGGUGAUCUAGCCAUGGGCAGGUUGAAGGUUGGGUAACACUAACUGGAGGACCGAACCGACUAAUGUUGAAAAAUUAGCGGAUGACUUGUGGCUGGGGGUGAAAGGCCAAUCAAACCGGGAGAUAGCUGGUUCUCCCCGAAAGCUAUUUAGGUAGCGCCUCGUGAAUUCAUCUCCGGGGGUAGAGCACUGUUUCGGCAAGGGGGUCAUCCCGACUUACCAACCCGAUGCAAACUGCGAAUACCGGAGAAUGUUAUCACGGGAGACACACGGCGGGUGCUAACGUCCGUCGUGAAGAGGGAAACAACCCAGACCGCCAGCUAAGGUCCCAAAGUCAUGGUUAAGUGGGAAACGAUGUGGGAAGGCCCAGACAGCCAGGAUGUUGGCUUAGAAGCAGCCAUCAUUUAAAGAAAGCGUAAUAGCUCACUGGUCGAGUCGGCCUGCGCGGAAGAUGUAACGGGGCUAAACCAUGCACCGAAGCUGCGGCAGCGACGCUUAUGCGUUGUUGGGUAGGGGAGCGUUCUGUAAGCCUGCGAAGGUGUGCUGUGAGGCAUGCUGGAGGUAUCAGAAGUGCGAAUGCUGACAUAAGUAACGAUAAAGCGGGUGAAAAGCCCGCUCGCCGGAAGACCAAGGGUUCCUGUCCAACGUUAAUCGGGGCAGGGUGAGUCGACCCCUAAGGCGAGGCCGAAAGGCGUAGUCGAUGGGAAACAGGUUAAUAUUCCUGUACUUGGUGUUACUGCGAAGGGGGGACGGAGAAGGCUAUGUUGGCCGGGCGACGGUUGUCCCGGUUUAAGCGUGUAGGCUGGUUUUCCAGGCAAAUCCGGAAAAUCAAGGCUGAGGCGUGAUGACGAGGCACUACGGUGCUGAAGCAACAAAUGCCCUGCUUCCAGGAAAAGCCUCUAAGCAUCAGGUAACAUCAAAUCGUACCCCAAACCGACACAGGUGGUCAGGUAGAGAAUACCAAGGCGCUUGAGAGAACUCGGGUGAAGGAACUAGGCAAAAUGGUGCCGUAACUUCGGGAGAAGGCACGCUGAUAUGUAGGUGAAGUCCCUCGCGGAUGGAGCUGAAAUCAGUCGAAGAUACCAGCUGGCUGCAACUGUUUAUUAAAAACACAGCACUGUGCAAACACGAAAGUGGACGUAUACGGUGUGACGCCUGCCCGGUGCCGGAAGGUUAAUUGAUGGGGUCAGCGCAAGCGAAGCUCUUGAUCGAAGCCCCGGUAAACGGCGGCCGUAACUAUAACGGUCCUAAGGUAGCGAAAUUCCUUGUCGGGUAAGUUCCGACCUGCACGAAUGGCGUAAUGAUGGCCAGGCUGUCUCCACCCGAGACUCAGUGAAAUUGAACUCGCUGUGAAGAUGCAGUGUACCCGCGGCAAGACGGAAAGACCCCGUGAACCUUUACUAUAGCUUGACACUGAACAUUGAGCCUUGAUGUGUAGGAUAGGUGGGAGGCUUUGAAGUGUGGACGCCAGUCUGCAUGGAGCCGACCUUGAAAUACCACCCUUUAAUGUUUGAUGUUCUAACGUUGACCCGUAAUCCGGGUUGCGGACAGUGUCUGGUGGGUAGUUUGACUGGGGCGGUCUCCUCCUAAAGAGUAACGGAGGAGCACGAAGGUUGGCUAAUCCUGGUCGGACAUCAGGAGGUUAGUGCAAUGGCAUAAGCCAGCUUGACUGCGAGCGUGACGGCGCGAGCAGGUGCGAAAGCAGGUCAUAGUGAUCCGGUGGUUCUGAAUGGAAGGGCCAUCGCUCAACGGAUAAAAGGUACUCCGGGGAUAACAGGCUGAUACCGCCCAAGAGUUCAUAUCGACGGCGGUGUUUGGCACCUCGAUGUCGGCUCAUCACAUCCUGGGGCUGAAGUAGGUCCCAAGGGUAUGGCUGUUCGCCAUUUAAAGUGGUACGCGAGCUGGGUUUAGAACGUCGUGAGACAGUUCGGUCCCUAUCUGCCGUGGGCGCUGGAGAACUGAGGGGGGCUGCUCCUAGUACGAGAGGACCGGAGUGGACGCAUCACUGGUGUUCGGGUUGUCAUGCCAAUGGCACUGCCCGGUAGCUAAAUGCGGAAGAGAUAAGUGCUGAAAGCAUCUAAGCACGAAACUUGCCCCGAGAUGAGUUCUCCCUGACUCCUUGAGAGUCCUGAAGGAACGUUGAAG
rnacentral:rRNA from 1 species